GAAAUGCGAUAAGUAAUGUGAAUUGCAGAAUUCCGUGAAUCAUCGAAUCUUUGAACGCAUAUUGCGCCCUUUGGUAUUCCGGGGGGCAUGCCUGUCCGAGCGUCAUUACUAUCUUCAAGCACGGCUUGUGUGUUGAGCAUUCUGUUCUCUUAAUUAAUUUCUGAAUGUUGACCUCGGAUCAGGUAGGGAUACCCGCUGAACUUAA
rnacentral:misc_RNA from 1 species